GGGGAGUUAGCUCAGCUGGUAGAGCAGCGGACUCUUAAUCCGUAGGUCCGGGGUUCGAACCCCCGACUCCCCACCA
rnacentral:tRNA from 3 species